rnacentral:rRNA from 1 species
AUAACUGACGCUGAAGAGCGAAAGCGUGGGGAGCGAACAGGAUUAGAUACCCUGGUAGUCCAUGCCGUAAACGAUGUCACCUGGAGGGUGGGGGACAUUCCACCUUUUCCGCGCCGUAUCUAACGCAUUAAGUGCCCCCCGUGGGGAGUACGGCCGCAGAGCUA